rnacentral:siRNA from 1 species
UGGAUGAAUUUGUUUUAGAUG